ACGAACGCUGGCGGCGUGCUUAACACAUGCAAGUCGCACGGGCCCGCUCUCUUUUUUGGGGGUGGGUUGAGUGGCGAACGGGUGAGUAUCACGUGAGUAACCUGCCCCCUGCUCCUGGAUAACUGCUUGAAAGGGCGGCUAAUACGGGGUGUGCCGGCUGGUCCGCAUGGGCCUGGUCGGGAUAGUUUCAUCUUCGGGUGUUUCGGUGGGGGAUGGGCUCGCGGCCUAUCAGCUUGUUGGUGGGGUGAUGGCCCACCAAGGCGGUGACGGGUAGCCGGCCUGAGAGGGUGGGCGGCCACACUGGGACUGAGACACGGCCCAGACUCCUGCGGGAGGCAGCAGUGGGGGGUAUUGCACAAUGGGCGGAAGCCUGAUGCAGCGACGUCGCGUGAGGGAUGGAGGCCUUCGGGUUGUGAACCUCUUUCUCCGGUGGUGAAGGCCCUGUCCGUUGCGGCGGGGUUGACGGUAGCCGGGGAUGAAGCGCCGGCUAACUACGUG
rnacentral:rRNA from 1 species